UCUAGAUUCUCGUGCACAAGAACUCGCAAGAACUCCCGCCAUCUUUCAAAGUAGGGAAGAAAUGGCCACUGGUGGAUUGACAUGUCAUUUCUUUAACACACCAAGGGGAUGUUGGAAAGGUGACAACUGCCGAUAUAUACAUGAUGGAACAACCCUUCAACAGUCUGAGAUGCCAAGAUGUCGGUUCUAUGGCACACCUCAAGGAUGUAGGUAUGGUGACUCGUGUAUAUUUCGUCAUUCUGAGCCACAGAUCCCAGCUGCUAAACAAGAG